AUACAGGGGGUCCAAGCGUUGUUCGGAAUCACUGGGCGUAAAGCGCGUGUAGGCGGCUGUAUAAGUCGAAUGUGAAAUCCCUCAGCUCAACUGAGGACGUGCAUUCGAAACUGUAUAGCUAGAGUAUCGGAGGGGGUGGUGGAAUUCCUAGUGUAGAGGUGAAAUUCGUAGAUAUUAGGAGGAACACCUGUGGCGAAGGCGACCACCAGGACGAUAACUGACGCUGAGACGCGAAAGCGUGGGUAGCAAACAGGAUUAGAAACCCUAGUAGUCC
rnacentral:rRNA from 1 species